rnacentral:rRNA from 1 species
AGAGUUUGAUCCUGGCUCAGGACGAACGCUGGCGGCGUGCUUAACACAUGCAAGUCGCAUGAGAUGAUUGAAAGCUUGCUUUUGAAAGUCGAGUGGCAAACGGGUGAGUAACGCGUAGACAACCUGCCGUAAAGAUGGGGACAACAGUCCGAAAGGACUGCUAAUACCGAAUGUUGUGGAACUUCCGCAUGGGAGCUCUACUAAAGAUGGCCUCUACUUGUAAGCUAUCGCUUUAUGAUGGGUCUGCGUCUGAUUAGCUAGUUGGUGGGGUAACGGCUUACCAAGGCGACGAUCAGUAGCCGGUCUGAGAGGAUGAACGGCCACAUUGGAACUGAGACACGGUCCAGACUCCUACGGGAGGCAGCAGUGGGGAAUCUUCCGCAGUGGGCGCAAGCCUGACGGAACAACGCCGCGUGAGUGAAGAAGGGUUUCGACUCGUAAAGCUCUGUUGUCGGGGACGAAUGUGGAGGUUGUGAAUAACAGCUUCCAAUGACGGUACCUGACGAGGAAGCCACGGCUAACUACGUGCCAGCAGCCGCGGUAAUACGUAGGUGGCGAGCGUUGUCCGGAAUUAUUGGGCGUAAAGGGAGCGCAGGCGGGAGGUCAAGUCUAUCUUAAAAGUGCGGGGCUCAACCCCGUGAGGGGAUGGAAACUGGUCUUCUUGAGUGCAGGAGAGGAAAGCGGAAUUCCUAGUGUAGCGGUGAAAUGCGUAGAUAUUAGGAGGAACACCAGUGGCGAAGGCGGCUUUCUGGACUGUAACUGACGCUGAGGCUCGAAAGCGUGGGGAGCGAACAGGAUUAGAUACCCUGGUAGUCCACGCCGUAAACGAUGAAUGCUAGGUGUAGGAGGUAUCGACCCCUCCUGUGCCGGAG